UACGUAGGGUGCAAGCGUUUAAUCGGAAUUACUGGGCGUAAAGCGUGCGCAGGCGGUUUUGUAAGUCUGUCGUGAAAGCCCCGGGCUCAACCUGGGAAUUGCGAUGGAGACUGCAAGGCUUGAAUCUGGCAGAGGGGGGUAGAAUUCCACGUGUAGCAGUGAAAUGCGUAGAGAUGUGGAGGAACACCGAUGGCGAAGGCAGCCCCCUGGGUCAAGAUUGACGCUCAGGCACGAAAGCGUGGGGAGCAAACAGG
rnacentral:rRNA from 1 species